GAUGACGGUGGGAUUCGAACCCACGCCCUGAAUCGGACCAGAGCCUAAAUCUGGCGUCUUAGACCUCUCGACCACGUCAUCU
rnacentral:tRNA from 1 species